rfam:Exophiala mesophila strain CBS 40295 unplaced genomic scaffold supercont1.3, whole genome shotgun sequence.
GCCUCUAUGGCGCAGUGGUAACGGUAGGUUGUACUAGGAAUUAAUUUUGAGCUCUGGCUGAUUUCCUUAGCGUCGCACUUGUACUACCGGAAGAAAUAUUCUUCCUCCAUCCACAUCAAUGCGAAGAUCACAAGUUCAAUUCUUGUUGGAGGCA